GCUUACGGGCAUACCUCUCUGGGCUCCGCCUGAUCUUCGUCUGAUCUCAGAAGCUAAAGCAGAGUAGGGGCUGGGUUAGUACUGGG
rfam:Gasterosteus aculeatus cont1.015144, whole genome shotgun sequence.